AAUUUUUAUAGUUUGAAAAAUUUACUCAAAAUUUAUUUUACAUAUAAAUUUUAGUGUUAAUUAUUAAUUUAUUUUAAUAAUAAUAAUAAUAAUAAUUUUAGUAAUUAAUAUUAAAAAUUUAAGCAAUUAAGAUUUAGUAAUAAUUUAAUUAAAAACUAAUUUUGUGCCAGCAGUUGCGGUUAAACAAAAUUUAAAGUAAAUUUUAUUAGUAAAAUUAAUUAAUAAUUUAUAAUUUAAAUUAAAUAUUAAAUUAUUAAGUGAAAUUUUAAUUUAAUAAAAAUUUAUAAAAAAAUUAUGAAAUUAAUAAAUUAUAUUAAAAACUAGGAUUAGAUACCCUAUUAUUAUUAAAUUAAAUGGUAAUACUAAAAUAGUAUUUAAUAAUUUAUUGAAAUUUAAAUAAUUUGGCGGUAUUUUAGUUCAUUCAGAGGAAUCUGUUUAAUAAUUGAUAAUCCACGAAUAAAUUUACUUAAUUUAUAAUUUUGUAUAUCGUUGUUAAAAAAAUAUUUUAUAUUAAAAAUAAUAUUUUAAAAUUUAAAAAAUAAAUUAAAUCAGAUCAAGAUGCAGAUAAUAAUUAAGAAUAUAAUGGAUUACAAUAAAUUUAUUUAAAUGAAAAAUAAUUUGUAAGAAUUAUAUGAAGGUGGAUUUGAAUGUAAUUUUAUUUAAUUUAAUAAAAUGAUUAAAAGUUAAAAUAUGUACAUAUUGCCCGUCGCUUUCAUAAAUAAGUUGAAAUAAGUCGUAACAAAGUAGAGGUACUGGAAAGUGUUUCUAGAAAGA
rnacentral:ncRNA from 1 species